rnacentral:rRNA from 1 species
GAUGAACGCUGGCGGCGUGCCUAAUACAUGCAAGUCGAGCGAACAGACGAGGAGCUUGCUCCUCUGACGUUAGCGGCGCACGGGUGAGUAACACGUGGAUAACCUACCUAUAAGACUGGGAUAACUUCGGGAAACCGGAGCUAAUACCGGAUAAUAUAUUGAACCGCAUGGUUCAAUAGUGAAAGACGGUUUUGCUGUCACUUAUAGAUGGAUCCGCGCCGCAUUAGCUAGUUGGUAAGGUAACGGCUUACCAAGGCAACGAUGCGUAGCCGACCUGAGAGGGUGAUUGGCCACACUGGAACUGAGACCCGGUCCAGACUCCUACGGGAGGCAGCAGUAGGGAAUCUUCCGGAAUGGGCGAAAGCCUGACGGAGCAACGCCGCGUGAGUGAUGAAGGUCUUUGGAUCGUAAAAACCUGUUAUUAGGGAAGAACAAAUGUGUAAGUAACUAUGCACGUCUUGACGGUACCUAAUCAGAAAGGCACGGCUAAAUACGUG